rnacentral:rRNA from 1 species
UACGAAGGGGGCUAGCGUUGCUCGGAAUCACUGGGCGUAAAGCGCACGUAGGCGGCUUUCUAAGUCAGGGGUGAAAUCCUGGAGCUCAACUCCAGAACUGCCUUUGAUACUGGAGAGCUUGAGUCCGGAAGAGGUGAGUGGAACUCCGAGUGUAGAGGUGAAAUUCGUAGAUAUUCGGAAGAACACCAGUGGCGAAGGCAGCUCUCUGGGACGGUACUGACGCUGGGACGCGAAGGUCAGGGGAGCAAACGGG